GGCUGCCCAGGGUCAACCGGCUGGCUCCGAGCGCGGCACUUUUACCCGUUGGGUACUCUCAAGGACUCGGAGGUAGCUCCUAUUCCUUUCUCUUAUCCUUUCGCGCGCGCGCCUUUUUUAUCCCGCUAACCUUUUUAAGCGCACUUUUAAUUCCGCUCGGCCGCGUGUCUCCGUGCAGCGUGCACGAGCUCUCCAAGAUCUUAUUGUAAAAGAGCGACGUACGUCGAGCAAGAUCGCCGGGGGAUGUAUUAUCGAUCAAAGCGGAGAGAGACACUGGGAAAAUCCAGUACGUUGAAAGGGUGAACCAGAGUCGAAAGACUAGAAAAGUACGCGGUCUCUCGUCAGAGUUGAGAAAGAUAACAAGUGGAUUCAGCCACAUCCGGAUCGUCUUUCAAACUUGUCCUCCGCUACUACCACUACUGCUGUGUGUCCUCGACAGAGAGACUUCUCCGUCCUUUUCCUCUUUCUCCCGGUUGCCGAGCCGUCUGACUUCUUCUUUCACGACUCGGCACUCCGCCGGCCGCUUCGUCGUCGUCCACCCCCUGAGACGAUCCAGAACUCGUGCUCGAACACCGUAUCUCCACUGCGUAUCGUUGCCUUACAAUUUCCUGCGACGCGGUGGAUCACCGCUGUUUCUCUCUCCUUCUUCCACUUGCUUCUCUUCUUUCUCUCUGCCUCUCCCUUUCUCUAUCUCCUUUCUCUUCUGGUUUUGUAAUCCGUUUUACGAAACUUCUGUAGCCCGGACGCGGUAGCAGCGGCGGUGGCGGUGGCGGUGGCGGUGGCGAUGGCGGUGGCGGUGGCGGCGGCGAUGACGGCGGUGGCGAUGACGGCGGUGGCGGCGUGUGGUGGAAGCGAGCGGGACGCGAUCGAAGGAUCAAGAGACGGGCUCGAAUUCUACCACGAAAUUGGCUGCUAAAGGCACGCCGUGACAGGAGAUCCUGGUGCCUUCUUCGUCCCGGAAGCGGGUUACCGGUGGGAUACGAGCGACGACCUUGAACACUCGCGUUUCGCAGCGCACGACACGACCAACAAACAUACGAGAACGAUCGUUUCCAUCGCUUUCCUCGUCGACGCGGACACGGUCGACGAUUCGGACGAACACGGGCAACGAUUGUGAUCGAACGCUUACGUACGUUCACCGUAUGCGCGCUCUUUCACCUGUUUUCGUCGCGGGAGAGACCAAACGGAGAGUUCGUGUCGGCGUGCACCAGCGUCGUCUAAUCGGAAUUAGACACAGAUUUCACGAAGCAGCGGACUAGAAAUGUUGUUACACAAUUGCACACUUCUUUUCUUGCUCCCGUUUUCCGUCUCGUCUCGUUUCGUUUCGUUUCGUUUCGUUCCGUUUCGUGCGUUCCACUGUUCGAGUUCCCGACAAUCACCGUGUUCCUUCCGCGGGAAUGGUGCCCGCGAUCGACUCUCGCUUAGGAGACACGUCCAAGAGAAACAGCUCGAAGGUGGGACCAAAUCCGAAAGCCACCGAGAGAAAGACAGAGAGAGAGAGGCAGAGAUAUUCGGCUAUGCCCAGCCUACGAGACAGGAUCGGAUUUUAGCGCGCUCCGCACGCGCUCCCGCGAGCCCAACUCGGCGGUUUCAACUUUUACUUUCAGCUCUUACACAACGCAGCCCGCUCUUGCUUGGUACGUAAGCGGCAACCAAGCACCGAGUCUCGCUCUUUGCUCUUCCGAAGCUUCUUCUUCUUCUUUUCCUCCUUUCCUUCUUCUUCUUUCUACUUUCUCCACCCUUUCCCUUCCUUUCUCUUCCUUUCGCUCGGAUCCUUUCGCGAUUUCACAAUUUCCACAGCUGUCUCGGCUAUCUCUCUCUCUCUCUCUCUCUCUCUUUCUUUAUUUCUUCCUUUCUUUCCCCCCUUCUCUCUCUCUCCCUCUCUCUUUCUCUCCCUCUCUCUCGCUUUCCCUGUGUCACAGUUCCAAUCCCUGCGAUUUUAAAUAUCGUCGUAUCGAUGCCGACGAUGCAUAAUCGCGGUCCGCUUAAACCGUUGACAUUUGUCUGAAAUCCCCGAAAAGCUCGUUUAAUAUACGACACCGGACUUGCCUAAAGAGCACGUGCGUCGACGAAAGCACGUGCGGAUGAGCACGUGUCCGGUGUUUUCGUUCGGCAGGAACGCGCACUCGGAUCGCACUGAUAACGACGUGUGGUGCCACUCGUUUUCAGAUACCACGAUAUAAAAAGCCGAGGAAAAUUCGCGGUACGAACGGUGUCCGAUCGUGUCGACACAGUCCCAUGGAAAUCCGGAAGAUAGGAGCAACCAGAGGCCACGUGGCCUCCCGACGAAGACUCGCGGCGAACGACGGCAACGAUCACGACCACGACCACGACCACGACAACGACUACGACGACCACGACAACAAUGACGACGACGAUGAUCGUGAGCACGAUCACCGAUAGAAACGAAACGUUAACAAUGUCGUCGUUGACUUUCACGAAAUUUGUCUCACUACACACGCGUUGCACACACGCACGUCAUACACAGAAACGACACGUUCGAUCGACACGAUGUAUGUUUUUCGCGCGUGAUCUCUCUCUCUUUCUCACUUCGCCGGAGGACUUCUUCAGGGAGAGAGGGUCUCUUCCGGUCUCCGCGGUGUGUCUCACUGCUCCUCGCUCCGUCGUAACUUUUGCGCAAACCCGAGACCCUCUCUUACUCUCUGUGCUGUUCACGCUCUCUCACUCUUUCCUUCUUUCUCUUUUCCUCUUUCUCCCCCUUCUCGCUCUCUUUUCCCUCCCUCUCUCUCUCUCUCCCCCUCUCUCUCUCUCUUACUCUUUCCCUUUCUCUCUGUCUCUCUAACUCCUCUGUCUAUCUCUAUCUCUAUUUCUAUCUCCGUUCUGCGUAUGAUACUUUGCUUUUUCUCUCUCUUUCUCUUUCUCUGGCUGGUCCUAGGUAAACGCGAAGAGAGGUAGACUGGGCAGUCGACGAGUGACUACGGUGGUGGUGGUGGUGGUGGUGGUGGUGGUGGUGGUGGUGGUGGUAGUGGUGGUAGUGGUGGCGGUUACGAUGGUGGUGGUUGAUGCGAUCCGAUAGUAGUGGUGGUACACGAAUUCCGCUUGAAACGAGUGCGUAUAUACCGUCCACUGAUCGGAGCGUGGCAGGACGGUGACAGUGACGAUGAUGGUAACGGUGGUAGUAGUGACUCUGCGGUGGUGGUGGUGGUAGAGAAGAGGCCAGGUGGGCCCCGUGGCUUACAGACGAGCCCAGAAAGGGUUGAGGGUCCGAAAAGCACGGUUCUCUCUCUCUCGAGAACUCCCGGCGGAAUACUCACGCUAGAGAGGAGGCCUCGCGAGCCUCGUGAGUUCGUUUGUAAAGGGACUAUAGUAUUGGUUCCUCGUCGAGUGGCACCUCUUCCCUUCUCUCUUCCUCUCUUACUCGCUCUCCUUCUACCUAUCUCUUUCCUACGUUUACUCUUUCCUCCCACCAUUGCCCCACCAUCUACCACCACCUUCCUCCACUCUCCCUUUCCCCACUGGUGCUCUCACUAUUACAUUACAAAUAGCUCUCUUGCCUAGGCCGCGUUUGUGAGGUGUUGCUCCUUCCGUGCACAUUUAUGUUACUCAACAUUGUGUCCAGAUAGCAGGGGACAGGCGUACCCGCAGUUAAUGCCAUUCGUAGAUUCGGUCAACGAUGUGCACGCGUCCGGAGAUUACGGCAGCGCAGCGGCUGGCUAUACUUAGAGCGGUAGACGAAUUUCGCUCGAGGGACGCUCCGAAAGGAGGUCGAGAAACAGCUGAUGCGAUAUGUGUUGCGUUCAGCUCCUCGCCGCGAUAAACUCUUCCUAUGCUCUUUCUCGCCACGAAACAUAGUCCGACCGUAUUAACACGUUGACUGUCGGACGAAUUUUGCAUGUUUUACGUAUAACGUCGGAACGUUGUCGCUUAUUUUAGCAUUAUAUGUAAGAUUUUUUAAGAUGCGUAUAUAGUACGUCCGAUUUAAAUAUAUGUAUAUAUAUAGGCGCUAUAUUCUUAAGUAUCGAAAAUGCAAGAAAAUAUUUUGUACGAAAGUCGGUGUUUCUUUCAUGGAAGAAACUCAACGCUAUUACUACCGACUAAUACGUAGCUACUUGUACGUGUAUGUAAUAUACAGUCGGUUAAAAUUAAAACGAUACGAAACUAUA